rnacentral:rRNA from 1 species
ACGGAAGGCAGCAGUGGGGAAUAUUGGACAAUGGGGGAAACCCUGAUCCAGCGACGCCGCGUGAGUGAAGAAGUAUUUCGGUAUGUAAAGCUCUAUCAGCAAGGAAGAAAAUGACGGUACUUGACUAAGAAGCUCCGGCUAAAUACGUGCCAGCAGCCGCGGUAAUACGUAGGGGGCAAGCGUUAUCCGGAUUUACUGGGUGUAAAGGGAGCGUAGACGGCGAUGCAAGUCUGAUGUGAAAUGCGGGGGCUCAACUCCUGAACUGCAUUGGAAACUGUAUUGCUGGAGUGCCGGAGAGGUAAGCGGAAUUCCUAGUGUAGCGGUGAAAUGCGUAGAUAUUAGGAGGAACACCAGUGGCGAAGGCGGCUUACUGGACGGUAACUGACGUUGAGGCUCGAAAGCGUGGGGAGCAAACAGGAUUAGAUACCCUGGUA